UACAGAGGGUGCGAGCGUUGUUCGGAAUUACUGGGCGUAAAGAGCUCGUAGGUGGUUUGUCGCGUUGUUCGUGAAAACUCACAGCUCAACUGUGGGCGUGCGGCGAUACGGGCAGACUGGAGUACUGCAGGGGAGACUGGAAUUCCUGGUGUAGCGGUGGAAUGCGCCAGAUAUCAGGAGGAACACCGGUGGCGAAGGCGGGUCUCUGGGCGAGUAACUGACGCUGGAGGAGCGAAAGCCGUGGGAGCGAACAGG
rnacentral:rRNA from 1 species